UUAAGGCUGUUUGUUUUAAGAAAACAAUCUUUGUGCAAAGUUGUGAUUGUUGAUUGAUGGUUCCUAUGUGAUCAUCCAUGUAUUGUGUUAUGUGGAAUACUGGAAUAAUAAUAUACAUAUUAGUACCUCUGACCAUCAUAGCAUUGUGUUAUGUUCUAGCCGACCUCUUGGAUUUCAAAAGAUUGUAGUUCUUCAAAGAUUCUCACUUCCACGCGAAUGUAUGUAUACUUUGUCUCUUUUUAGCACCUUUCACCGUCAUAGCAUCAUGCCAAUGGAUUGGUUAGUUUGGAGGUCCAUGUAAGAUAUAAUCCUGCCAUCUCUGACAACCUCUCAUUUUAUGCUUUAUUUAAUGCUGCUUACACCCUCUCAUAAUGUGAUUAUUUCUAAUUUCGUCUAGCUUUGUAUGAUGAAACAUAUUUCCUAACAUCCGUAUUUUGACAGCAUGCAUUUUGUGGAUAUGUUAAGACCCAACAUUCACUUGUUAGGAAAGAUGUAAUAGAGUGCUCUCCGUAGGUGCUUUCUGCUCUGUUUGUACUCUUGUGUACCUUCUUGGUACACUUUUAUUAAUAAUACUUUACCUGAUUAAAAAAAAGGACUCAACACACUUCCAGUUCUAUGUAACCUUAUUGGUCUUAGAAUUGUUCUAUAGAACUUUUUUCACGUUGGUAGGUAUAUUCAUGUUGUAUCUCAUACUUGUAGGACUCCUCCACUACAACCAUCAUAUUUUACUCCAAUAUGUUACAUAUUCAUCUAUCAUACCAUUCUUUUAAAAU
rnacentral:lncRNA from 1 species